AUUGAACGCUGGCGGCAGGCUUAACACAUGCAAGUCGAGCGGAGAUGAGGUGCUUGCACCUUAUCUUAGCGGCGGACGGGUGAGUAAUGCUUAGGAAUCUGCCUAUUAGUGGGGGACAACAUUCCGAAAGGAAUGCUAAUACCGCAUACGUCCUACGGGAGAAAGCAGGGGAUCUUCGGACCUUGCGCUAAUAGAUGAGCCUAAGUCGGAUUAGCGAGUUGGUGGGGUAAAGGCCUACCAAGGCGACGAUCUGUAGCGGGUCUGAGAGGAUGAGCGGCGGCGUGGGGCAGGAGACAGGGCACAGACUCCUACGGGAGGAAGCAGUGGGGAAUAUUGAGCAGUGGGGGGAACCCUGAUCCAGCCAUGCCGCGGGUGUGAAGAAGGCCUUAUGGUUGUAAAGCACUUUAAGCGAGGAGGAGGAUACUGAGACUAAUACUCUUGGAUAGUGGACGUUACUCGCAGAAUAAGCACCGGCUAACUCUGUGCCAGCCGCCGCCGUAAGAC
rnacentral:rRNA from 1 species